ACCCCGACGGUUGCCCCGAGGUAGCACCAUCCAAGAAGAAGACAAGGAAAAUUAAUUUUUUCUUACCUCAGAGCGGCACGAAAAAGACGAAGAAAGCAACGAAAAACGAUCUUUUGCACGGGCAAGAUGUAGAAAAUUGCUAGAGGAGGGGGAACAAAUAUCCUCUAAGCUAUCUCUCUUGUAGGGUAGAAUAAAUCGCUCUCCAAAGUUGAUUUAAUAACCCACUUAUGGUGGACUUAAAUAGGCUUUGAGAGAAAUUUAUUUCCCUUUCCUAGAAAGAUCUAAUUUUCUAUUAAAGAGAGAAUCUACAUCAAAAUAGGAAGCAGUCCUAAGUUUCCUAAAGCAAGAAGAUCUCUACACCUGCUGCCCUUUUCUGCGAGCAGCCCAACAAGUGUGGGGGCAUUUGUGGAGCCAAAAAUAUUCACAAGGCGACAUGUGGAUUUUUUACAACAUAAGACAAAACUACCCUUGGGGCAUACCGUGAUUCCAACGCGCAAGCAGCGGGCAAUUAUCCCUCAACCAAGUCAAAAGUGCCCAAAAUAGGUAUCAACUUAAAACCUAAUUUAUUCAUAUAUUUCCUAUUUCAUUAUUUAGCUAAUCAAUUAGCUAAAUACUUCACUUAUUCCAUAAUUCCUAAAACAUUCCUUCUAAAAUAAUGAUAAAUAGCUAAUUAAUGGGUUAAUUAGCUAAUUAUUCCCUUAAUUAGCAUUUAGACCUUUCACUUUACCCUAACUCCCACAAAAAGGCCGGCUAUCCCCAUUUCAAAACCUCAUCCAUCACCUUUUCUACCUUUUUCACCAUUUCUUCCUUUUUAUUAGCCAAUAAAUUUCAUAACCACAAAAGCAUUUCCUUUUAUGUUUAAUUAGCCAAUUAAUUGGCUAAUUAAACCAAAACAAAACCUAAAACCCGACUAAGUGGCCGGCCAUCCUUUCCUCUCCUAUAAAUUGGUUUCCAUUUUCACCAAACACUAAUUCCAACACUUUGGCAAAAAUCCCAAAAUUCUCUAAACACUUUUUCUCUCUAAAUUCUAACUUUGGCAUCGGAGGUUCUUCGGCCAAAGCCCCCCCAUUCAUCGUGGGCGCGUGAGGCUCUUGGCCUUAACCUAAGGUGUUAAUUGUUUUGUAGGUGCAGAAUUGUCCAAGAUCAAGGAGGAAGAAAUUUGCAUCCACAAACUACUUUAGCUCAAAACAAUCGCAAGUAUGAAAGCCACCUUCCCACGAGACAAAAACAAUCACUAGCUGCCAUAUUACAAACAUGAGGAACAAAAAGGAAUUCUACUGACCUCAAUUGUUGGUUCACACAUUGAAUAUCAAAUUGAAGAGCUUUAUCGCAACAUUUGGUUGAGUUUUGUCAUUAAUCAUAUCUACAAGACAUUUGGAGUCCGAUUCUACACGAACCGCAUCAAAACCCUUGUCAAUUAUACAAGCCAACAAAAACGCCCACACAACUUCCACCUAUUGAAAUUGGUCCAAAUGUCACAAGCCUUUGCAGGUGUUCUAUUUGCGGUAACUUCCUCUUUAUAACCUAAACCGGCUAGUUACGAAUGGAUUUAGAAAGAAA
rnacentral:lncRNA from 1 species